CUGGCAACGUCAACGCCAUGAUCUCUGCCUUCGAAUGUGUUCACGAUGUAUAUCCUCUGCCAACCCAUAGUUGUGCAGUUAUAUAGCCAUUCGCUUUAAAAUGGAAUCCUGAAAGGGGCUCUCUGAAAUGCAAAUGCAGGGCUGGGGUGUUGCCGUGCUGGUCGGUGUCCCGCACAGGGAGGACCAAUUCAAGACCCACCCAAUGAACUUCCUGAAAGAGAAGACUCUCAAGGGAACCUUUUUCGGCAACUACAAGCCCCGCACCGACCUGCCCAAUGUCGUGGAGAUGUACAUGAAGAAGGUAAUAACCAUGAAAUCGCCGAAUUUAAGAGAACAUGAAUCCCGAAAUCUUCAUGGUUUCAUGUGACAUAUUUCUGAUGGAUCAAACUUGUGGUGUUGGAUCCUCUGUAGGAGCUCGAGGUGGAGAAGUUCAUCACCCACAGUGUGCCGUUCUCCGAGAUCAACACGGCCUUCGACCUGAUGCUUAAGGGGGAGGGCCUGCGCUGCAUCAUGAGGAUGGAGGACUAGAGCUUGAUUGCCAGGAACCUCUCUUGGCAACUACUCUGUUGCAUAAGAGAGGAGGACAUCAGAAGUUGAAGGCGCUCCAUUGUGAAGUAGUAAUAAUGUGGUCCUGAGAAACGUACAUUGCCCACCCCUGUAUUCUGUUUCACGGUUUCAUCUUUAUUGUCGGUGUGUGGUCACUGGUCAGGUUUCGGCUCUGAAAAAACAAAAGAAGUUUGUGGUCAGGUUUCAGAAUCCCUGUAAUUACCAUUUUGCACAAAGAUAAUGAAGUGUUGUCAGUGUUGAUGUUCCGGCCUUAAAGCCUUCAUCCUAAAUUGUAGUUUCAUAUGAGAUUAGCUUGUGAUCUUCCAUGGAGGGAGGUGCCACGAGGAGUCUAGUCCAAACUCCAAAGCUCUGCUCAAUACCCUCUUUGGCAUUCUCUACUCAGGUCACUCCAAAUGCAAAGUCAGGGGCGGAUCCAGCCCACAAAUUGACUGGAGAGUCUGCUAUACAGUUUAUACAGUACAUAAAAGGCCCAAAAAAAUAAGCCGUGGCCUCACUUGGCUCUAUGUGUGGGUCCGUCCCCCCGAAUCCAACACAAACGGUUUUGUGAAAUAGUUCAUACCCGUUUUCAAUUGAAGUGCUUCUUUUGAAUAAGUUACCAUUUUUUUCUUUUUUUUGCAUCGUCCAAGUGUAUAAUAGUAGAAUUAUGCGUUAAAACAAAAUGAAACAAAUACUAACAUGUGACAUCAGACAAAGUUUACAUGCGACAUCAAACACAGUUUACAUGCAUGCAACCUAGCUAAUAACGGAACGGUUUCUAGAUUGAAGUGCUUCUAGCAGCCAUGACCAGGAUUUCCGUGACGCGUGUGUGCUGGUGAAAGCUGGCCGGCCGGUCCAUGGACUGACGCAGACCCAGUUGCAAAGAUCCUGAACCGGCGUGAGGGAGGAAUCAGGCAAUCAGGUGCAAGAUUCUCGUUGUGCCCGCUGUAUCUCAUGAUCCUGACUUGCUCCCACGGUAAUGGCCAUUGUGGGCACACAUUGUUUGAGAACCAACGAUGCCACCACUUGGGCGGCUGCCGGCAUGCCGCACAAGUGGACAGGCCAGUGCAUGUGCGGCAGAGCAUGAGCGUGGCGACCGUGUGAUCUGUGAUCCGAGGUUGUCAUGAAAAGCUAAGGCAUCUGCUACAGCACAUUUCGUACUUUGGUCGUUUGGUAGCGUGAUCGUAGACCCCACCCCACCCAAACUGGGGCAGUGUAACUUUACCAAAUUAAUUUGAAAAAAAAUCGAAAGCACACCCGUCAACUAUAAGGGGUGUUUAGGAGGAGGGGUUAAACUUUAGCCCUAUCACAUCGGAUGUUCAGAUACUAAUUAGGAGAACUAAACAUAAGCUAAUUACAAAACUAAUUGCAGAACCCCUAGGCUAAAUCGCGAGAUGAAUCUAUUAAGCCUAAUUAAUCUAUCAUUAGUGAAUGGUUACUGUAGCACCACAUUGUCAAAUCAUGGACUAAUUAGGCUUAAUAGAUUCGUCUCGCGAUUUAGCCUAGGGGUUGUGUAAUUAGUUUUGUAAUUAGUCUAGGUUUAAUACUCCUAAUUAGUGUCCAAACAUUCGAUUUGACGGGGGCUAAAAUUUAGCCCCCUCCUUCUAAACACCUCCAUAAUGGAAGAUAUCCUGCCGCUCAUUGUGUUUCUAGAUGUGUGAGACUUUGUUUCUCGUGGAUGCAUUCAAUAUGUAUACGAAUUGUUACAUGUCAGGAAUUUGUCCUAGCCCGAUUGAUAUAAAGAUAGGCUGUGUUUGGUUUCCUUUCUUAUUUCUUUAGUGAGGGAUUAAAGUUUAGUCUCCCUAUUUAGAUGUAGGGACUAAAUAGUAUUUAAUGACUUGAACAAUGACUAUAUUACCCCUAAAUAUUGCUACCCCUACCUUUUUCCUUGGGUGCUGGGGAGGACGGGAGUGGCGGCAGGCGGGCGGCCCGGCGUGGGUGGAGCCGGACAUGGAGUGGUGGUGGUUGGAGGAGUGGACUCGGCAUGCGCUGCGGGUUGGGGUCGACUGCAACAGCGGAGGCGUGGGGAGGGGCGGCGGAGUUGAGGGAGAGGCGGGGCACGUUGUCGUGGUUGAGGCCGGAGAAGGGGGAGCGUGGUGGCGGAGGCAUACGGAGGGGCGAGGAGGGUGACGGUGGCGGGUGUUAGACGAGAGGGGGCCGGGUGGCGAGUGCAGCGGCGGGGAGGGCGGAAGGUGCGGCGGCGGCGGGGAAUGGAACGGGAGGUAGAAACGGAUCGAGACGGGUGGAUGCGUGGGAGAGAGGGUCAUGGACAGGCCAUAAAACGAGGGUAGGAGGUGUUUAGGGUACACUUUAAUCCCCAUAAGCAACCUCUUGGUAAUUUAUGGAUUAAAGUUUAGCACUAAAGUUUAGUCACAUAAGCAAGUCUGUUUGGCACUUUAGGAACUAUAGUAAAAUUUAACAAGUUUGUUUGGCACCUUAGGGACUAAAGUAUAAUAAAAUUUAACAAGUUAGCAAGGUGAAACGAAACAGGUUGACAUAAACUUAGGGCCUGUUUGGUUAAACUUAGGGCCUGUUUGAACUUAGGGCCUGUUUGGUUAGCAUUGCUUAUAAAUAAGCAACUUAUAAAUAAGCAAAUAAGUUGCUUAUAACCCAAACACUCUUGCUUAUAGAGUUGCUUAUAAGUUGCUUAUGCAUAAGCAAAUAAGCAACUUUUGGGUUGCUUAUAGUUGCUUAUGGAGCACUUUUACUCCUCCUACCCUCAUUCUCUCUCCUCUCUCCCCUUUCUCUCUUCUCUCUCCCGUCACCACUGCCUGGCGCCGCUUCCGCCGGCCGCCGGCACGCCGCCCGCCGCCGCUCCCGCCCGCCGGCCGCCUCCGCGCCACCCGCCGCCGCUCCCGUCCGCCCGCCGCCCGCGCGCCGCCCGCCUCCACGCCGCUCGCCGCCCGCUCCCGCCCGCGCGCCGCCGCUCCCGCCCGCUCGCCGCCCGCUCCCGCCCGCCCGCCGCAGCUCCCGCCCGCCCGCCGCCUCCGCGCCGCCCGCCGCCGCUCCCGCCCGCCCGCCGCCCGCUCACCGCCGGCCUUCGCGCCGCUCGCCGCCCGCUCCCACGCCACCCGCUGCCGCUCCCGCCCGCCCGCUGGAUCUCGUUGCUCCUCCUCCCGCGCCGUCGCUGGAUCUGGACGAGCGGAGGGGCGCCCGCUGUACGAAUCGAGCCUUCGGCGCCCGUCGGGGGAGAAGCAGGCGGCGCGUCCAGUGGGCUCGAGCCCGCCGCCCAUUUUCCAUCUCGUCAGCUGCUCCCGCCCGCCGCCGCCGCUCCCACCCGCCUCCGUGCCGCGCACCCGCCGCCGGCCGCCCGCCGCUCGCACCCCGCCGCUGCCCAAACCAAGGGGUAGGAGCUGGGUCAUUUCAGGGGUAGAGGAAAAUGGGAUGGCAUGGGUAAAUAUGUCAAUACCAAUCAUAUAAGCAACCCAAACCAAACACCUAGACUUAUAAAUAAGCAACUACAAUAAGCAACUUAUAAAUAAGCACCCAUAACCAAACAGGCCCUUACUUCGUUUCACGUGAGAUCGGCACCUUUUUUACUUUCCUGCACUCCUCCAACGUCUCCUUUCCCACUUUCCUAUGUGCUUCAGCAACCUUUGCUCUUCCACAGUAAUUUUUAACAGAAAUUUGUGCUCCCACCAGUGUAUUAUAUGCUAUCUUCCAUCUGGACGAGUUCAUAUCGAUACAUCGAUGCACAACAGCGUGCAAAUAGGUACAAAUUGGUAGAUCGGAAAGAAUUCAUUACUCUCAAACCGUACAUCAUUAUACAGCCUCCUGUACAUCCUGUACAUCAUUGUGCACUAAAAGAAAUCAAUCCUUUACAAAUAUACAAAAUGAGCACACAUAAUAUUAAAAAAAAUCAACACUAACAUAUCAAUCUUUCCAUUGGCAAUUUAUAAUUUGUGAACAAAUCGGUAGAAAACAGCAGAUGUUUGAGAAUCAUUUCAAACCUCGAUUCGGCAGAAUAAUAUGUCCAUCAAGAGCUCGUUCAAAAAAAAACAAUUCUAAUCCAAUAACAAAGCUUCAAACUUGAUACAUGGUGCAAACAAAUAAUAAAAAAGGUGAAAGCAAAUCGUUGCUGCCAACAACCUCACCCUUGAGCGGCACGUACAACAUCGCUCAAAGUAUCUCCUCUGCAAUGAACAAAGCAUCUCCUCGAUUGAUCAUAAGAAAAAAAAAAGAAAAGAACCAAGAAAGGGGAGGACACGCAAGAUCAAGAACUCAUGCCUUGGGGAGGAGAGGACGCUGACCUCUAGCACCGAGCGGGUGGGCAAGAAGCUUGCCGAUGCGCCUCGCUGCCGGCAACUCCGAAGCUGAGGACUCCGUAAUCCUGACCUCGACCACCACCUUGGCGGGCGUGCCGCCACCGCUCGCUGCAGGCCAUCGGCUGGGGCUCGCCACGACCACUCGAUGCACUGCGCUACCCCUUGUCCCAAGGGCCACCGGUCUGGGCAUGGUGCGCAGCCGCCGCCUCCGCUCCCCCACCACCAUCUCCACAUAUCUCCUCACCACGGGUCUCCGGCCGCCGCCGCCAUGCACCUCGUGCUCCUUGAGGUUCCGCUCCGAGCUGGAAUCCACGCGGCCACGCAACGACCUCACGACGCGCCGAGCCCCGGCGGCCUCACCCCUCGAUGGCGCUCUAAGGGGCGCCCCUCCCCAGUGCUCGGCUCUCGUCGGAUCUGGACACCGCACCGUUGGGACGGCCGUCGAAAGUCGAAUCCAGCGCGACGCUGUCCUAGGUGCGGCAACAGGCAGCCGGAUCCGACACGGCGAAGGGGCAUGGGGGCGAGGCGUGCUACCCCGCCGGCUUUUCGCGUGACAAUGGCAGUGGACCCGGAGCUGGACAACCAUGGGGGAGCAACGGAAUGACAUACUUUGCUCUCGCUCCUGCCAUAGCGCGUGGCGCGGGGGUGCUCGAUGGCGCCGCCGCUCCUGUACCGCGCCAGGCUUCAUCGCUCACUUCGUACGAGUUAAUUAGCUUAUUCUAAAUAUCAUAUAUUUAUUGACGGAGUUAGGCCCUGUUUGGCAUGGCUCCAGCUUUAGGUGCAGCUGCUCCACUCCAGAACUCCAGGUGGAUCCAGCUCCACUCCAAAACUUCAGAAAUAAAAUGGGGUGUUUGGCUAGAUAGGUGCUCUUAGCUCCAAAAAAGACCGAUUUCAGUGUAGAUUGCCAUUGUUGCCCCCCAAUUCAAGCCCCACUUGUCAUACGCCCCGACGAACAGCUGCGUGCCUGCCUCGAAGAUACUGGCAGCGAUGUCCUCGCCGUACACCACGGACGCGCUGCCGGGACCGCCACUGGCAUCAUCGGCCACGACGAGCUCGACGCGGAGCGCCCCUCCCUUGUCCACCGCGACGGCCCGGAGGACGGGCAUAUCUCCUGUGGGCGGCGACGGGGCCGGGUCGGCGGCGGGCUGUGCGGCCACGAGACCGGGGUGGCGACGGGUAGCGGGGCUCGACGGCGACGGGAGACGGGGGCGGGCAGCGACGGGCGACGGGGCGGGGCGGCGACGGGCGCAGGGGCGCACGGCCGCCGGUGGGGCGCCGUGGCUGGUGCAGGGGGCCGGUGGUGGGGCGCUGCGGCCGCCGGCGGGCUUCGGCGGCGGGGUGAGACGGCCGGGCGAGACGGUCGGCGUCGGGCUUCGGCGGUGGGGCUUCGGCGGCGUCGGGGCUUCGGUGGUGGGGAACUCCUGCGGCGGCGGGCUUCGGGGGCGGGGCGCUGCAGCUGGCGGCGUCGUUCGGCGGAGGGCGCGACAGCCGGCGGCGGGGUGCGUCCAGAUACGGUGGGAGGCGGAGGUAAGGCGGCCGGGCGGGGCUAAAGCGGCUGGCGGCGGGGCUCGGCCGGCCUGCGGCGGGGCUGAACGGCGGGUCUCCGGCCGCCGGCAGGGCCUACGGCGGCGGCGCACGGGCGGUCGGCGCAACCCUAGGCGCGGCCGGGCGUGAGUACUCGAGAAUGAAGAAGGAACAGAGGCGCGAGGCAAGAAAGAAUGAAACGUUAUCUUGUGUAAUCAGUGGCAGUGGUGGGUAAUUACCCACCAACUCCACGAGGAGGUUCAAAAGAGGACGUUUUGGAGCAGCAAAAGGGGUGCUCCAAAACUCCAGCCCCAAUUGCACUACAGCUCCAUGGAGUUUUGGAGUUGACGUGUUUGGCUGGAUUUUUUGCUGGAGUCGCUGGAGUUACGGAGUGGAGCCGUGCCAAACACCCCCUUAGUGUCAUACCAUUACUAAUUGUAAUUAUUUUAAAGCCUCCAGUGAAGCUACCUAAGAUCUAGGUGGACACUCUAGAAAAAGAGAGAAAUCCUAAAAAUUCUUAAAAAAAGCAAAACAUCUAGCCAUCAAUUUGUAGACUCGAAUCAUUAUAGCCAUUGGAUCUAUUAUGGUUUUUAAAAAAUUACCCACCUAUACCAUUAUAAAAAUAGCCUAAAAUAAUCCCUAAACUACCUCUAAAUUACCCAUCCAUGCCAUUAUAUAAAAUAAACUAAAGUAAUUUCUAAUGUAACUUACCCUAAUGUGAUGUGUCAAAAAAAAUUUCAAAACAUAUGUACGUAAAUCUAAUUUGUACGUGAUCUAUUUUUUCUAAAAAAAUAUACUAUUGGUUGCAUGUGAGUAACCCUAAUCUAACUACCCUAACGUGAUCUGUAAAAAACUUCAAAAAAUAUGUAUGCAAAUCUAAUUCCAUUACCUGAUAGAUGCACAUAUGUACUUGAUCUAUUUUUUUUAAAAAAGUAUACUAAUGGUUACAUGUGAGUGGUAAUGUACAUACGUAAAUAUAUUUUCUUGAUAUCUAAUAGAUUAUUUCUUUUGGUAAGUAAUAAUUGCGUUAUAUGCAACAUAUUUCAAAUGAGAUGUGGCAGGUCAAAUUUUUAGGUGAAGUGAUAAUUGUAUCAUACGUAACAUUGUAACAAGAAAUUGUUUGAACAUGAGAUUAAAUUGUUAGCAAUAUCAAAAAUAGCAUACAUGUGUAGAUGUCACGAAUAAAAAUCAUACUAUGAGACAUGGCAGACAUGGGACCUACAUGCCGUUGCACGGUAGUAGAAAAAAAAUUAUGGAAAAAAAUUAAAAUGUUUAUGAUGAUAUGCACGCAUGCUGACAGGACUUUAAAGAGAUAAAGACUGGAUGGAUGCAUGCAUACAUAUCACCGGUAGUUGGAAAGAAGUGGGUUAGUAGUUAUUUUUCUAUUUUCUAAUUGGAUUUUUUCCUUAAUAAUCAAGAGUCCAGAUUUAAUUUAUGUCUUACCUCCCAGGAGGUAAAAGGUGUACUUUAGCAAGGUCCGUUGUCAAAAUUACUCACUUAUGUUAUUAGAAAAAUAAUUUAAAAUUACCUCCUAAAUUUGUAACAAAAUUGUCCACCACUAAUACUUAAAUAAAAAUAUCUUAAAGUAACCCAUAAAUGUACAUCUAUAUUACACACGUGCUAUUAUUAAAAAUAACAUGAGGUAACCUAAAUUUUAAUCCAAAUCAUCUUAAUGAAAAAUAUAGACCAAUAUACGGUUCUAAAUCAUACAUUAGUAUAUGAUAUAAUUAUUAAGGUACAUAUGCAUGAUGUGUGUCAUAAUUUAUAAUGAUAUGGAGCAAGCGAUGAGAAUAUUGAUUUCUAUGUUAAAAGUAUAACUGAAACUUAGGAUCCAUUAUUAAAAAAAUUGAAGCGCAUAACUGCGAUGCAACAUGAAAACUUAAAGAUUGUAAAUGUGGAUAAAAAUAUUAUAGAGUAAUUACUAACUAAAAUCUAUCACAAUCGGAUAAAUAUAAUAAAUAUAUAUCUAUAUAACUAUUGUGUUCGAAUAUUUAACAAAUGAGAGGUAGAUCAAGGUAAUAGUUUGGUAGCAAUGCGGUCUCACUUUUUUUUCCAUUGGAGACUAAAGACACGCUAGAAAAAAAGACAAAUCCUAAAUAAUUCUCACAAAAAUUAGAAAUAUCAAACAUCAAUCCAGUAAACUCUAAUAAUCAUAGCAUUAGUCUGUUAUAUUUUUAAAAAAGUUACCCACCACUUUCAUUAUGAAAAUAUUCUAAAAUAAACACUAAACCUUUAUAUAAAUUGUCGAGCUCUUCCAAUCCAAUUUACUUAUGCAUAUCGUUAUAAAGCAUAACUUAAAAUGUCAUUUUAAGUUUAUAUCUAAGUUACCCACAUAUGUUGUUAUUAAAAAUAAUCUAAAGUAAGCACGGAAAUCGUAAUCUAAUUAUCUUCACGUGCAUCAUAUAUAAAUGUACAAAAGUAAGCUAAUAGAUGGUUCUAAAUUACGUAUUAUGUCAUUGUUAAUAUACAAAUACUAAGUUAAGGUAUACACACAUGAUGAGUGACACCAUAUAGACCAUUUAUACAUGCAUGUGAGGAAGUGAUGAAAAAUAUUAAUUUUUAUGCUUAACAUAAUAUAUGGAGGUGCGAUAAAAAAUGAAAAAAGUGUGGAUGUGGAUGAAAGGUGUAAAGUAAUUAUUAAUUAAAAAUCAAUCACAACUAGAAAAAUAUAAGUAGAUAUAUAUAUGAGUAUUAUGUCAAGGAUUAAAAAUGAGAGAGUAAUAGUAAACAAUUUUCAUUUCUAAAUAAUUUUUAAAUAUAAUAAUUUUUAAAAAUAUUAACCCGUGCGGGAGUACGAUGGAUAGACUAGUUAUGCCAAUUCCUAUGCGCAGGAGACUAAUUUUGUUAGCAUCAGGUAAAAGGUUUGUUGCUCGACUGCAUCCGGACAAACCCUUGUCGUUACGGUCCUAAUCACCACGAUCUAGAGCCCCAAUCACCGUCACGGCGCGACACUUUCCGGCUUCCGCCUGCUUCCACAUGCCUCCGGGCUGCGUCUAGAAAUCCUCGAAACACCCCUGAUUCACCAGCACACCUGUCCCCAGUCCCAGCAACGCACAGGGCGCCACGCCGGCACGACCCCCUCUCUGAGCCGCAGAUCAUGCCCCCCGCCCGGCGCAUCCGACGGCCGGGACGGCUUGGUGGCAUCCCCCACCGCCCGGCGGCCUCCCCCACGAGCGGAAACCACGGCCGCGCUCCAGGUGGAGGCAGGAGCCCCGGUUUCGGCCGCCACGCCGCGCGCGUCCGUGGUUUGCUGCCCACGAAGGUGGACGGAAGGUGGCGAAACCGCACCCUCCGUCUUCUUCCCCUCCCCAACGCUCAGCGCCUCGCCCGGAGCUAUAUAUAGACGGGGCGCUCCCCUCUGGCUCCUCACGGAUUCGAUUUGGCUUGGAUUUGAUCGGUGUGAGGUGAUUAGUGCUGCUUGAUUUGGGAUUCCGUUCGGGAGUUUGGGGAACGAGGCAAUGGCGACGGCCGGGAAGGUGAUCAGGUGCAAAGGUCCGUGCUUGCUCCUGCUCUGCAUCUCGAGCUGUCUAAUUUCAGUCUGUUUGAUUUGGGAGUAAUUUUGGGGGAAAGGUUGGAUGCUCGACGGUCUUCCGGAAUUCUUUUGGGGAGUUCUUGUAAUGCUGCAACCGUGGGCGACUUUCUUUUGUAAUCCUUUUGCCCCGUAGAAAUGCUACAAAUCUUUUCUAAUGUGAAAUUAUUACAAGGAUCGCUCUGUUCGUCACAGAGCCCGGCCGGCCUCCACUCCCACGUACGAGGGAAAAUAUCUGCAAUUUUGUUUUUUUCCCGCAAAGAGGAAGUCGUAAAGUCGUUUUCGUUACGAUCUACGAAUGUUGCAACUUGCAAGGAGUAGCUUUUUUGUUUUGCUGGAUUAAUCGAUCGAGCUGACUAUGAGCUAAUCGAUUGCAGCCGCGGUGGCAUGGGAGGCCGGGAAGCCGCUGUCGAUCGAGGAGGUGGAGGUGGCGCCGCCGCAGGCCAUGGAGGUGCGCGUCAAGAUCCUCUACACCUCGCUCUGCCACACCGACGUCUACUUCUGGGAGGCAAAGGUAUCUACUCACCCAUCCCCUUCCGUUGCUUUGUCAGUAAGAUAUGAUGCAGCAACUCGCAGUUGACUUGCGCCUUUUCUUGGCGGCUUAUCUGUCUUAGGGGCAGACUCCCGUGUUCCCUCGGAUCUUCGGUCAUGAGGCUGGAGGGUACGUUCUCUUCCCUGAUUCACUUUAUUUUGUUAUAGUGAUUAAGCGUGUUUGUACUUCACGUGUACAUUAAAUUUUUGUUCUUGCGCAUGGAUCUAUGUUUAUCGAUACUAGUCUUUCUUUAUUGGCUUUACUAGAUGCAAAACGAUAUGUUUGUGUAGCCUGGAUUCUGGAGAACAUGUGAAAUAGUCAUAAGAAAUAGUUUAUCUUGUUUGAAGUGGUAUAUGAAUAUGAUUGAAUAUUAUUUGUGUGGAUGCCCGAUGUUCUUUUGGUGGACUCCGAUAGAUUUAUUAUUAUUUCAGAUGCAAUGUCUUCAUGUGAUUCAGUAUUUUUUUUCAGUUGAGACAAUGACAUGUACAACUAGGGGCUGUUUAAUCUUUAGUUGACUUAUUUCGUGAUGAAUUUUCCUUGAAGUAGACUGCUGUAGAAUCAUUUUAGGUCUGUUAUCCGAAUCAAAUUUGUUUAUGCUGCCUUUCCUGAAAUUUGUUGACUUCUACAGUAUCAUAGAGAGUGUUGGAGAGGGUGUGACUGACGUGGCCCCUGGUGACCAUGUCCUUCCUGUGUUCACUGGGGAGUGCAAGGAGUGCCCCCACUGCAAGUCGGCUGAGAGCAACAUGUGUGAUCUGCUCAGGAUCAACACUGACAGGGGUGUGAUGAUUGGCGAUGGCAAGUCACGGUUUUCAAUCAAUGGGAAGCCUAUCUACCACUUUGUUGGGACAUCCACCUUCAGUGAGUACACUGUCAUGCAUAUUGGUUGUGUUGCAAAGAUCAACCCUGAGGCUCCCCUUGAUAAAGUGUGUGUUCUUAGCUGCGGUAUUUCUACUGGUAAGUUCAUUUAGUACAUUUUGGUAUGCGUAUGGUAGAAUAUAUUUCUCUUGAGAUGUUGACUUAUGUCAUUUCUCUGUUUAGGUCUUGGUGCAACAAUUAAUGUUGCAAAACCGCCAAAGGGCUCAACAGUUGCUAUUUUCGGUCUAGGAGCUGUUGGUCUUGCUGUAAGUGUUGAAAUUAUUCACUUGUUUUAUGCCCUUUCAGUUCAAUUGUAAUGAGAAUGUGUUUUGGGUUUGCAUCUGAUUACCCUGCAUAUAUGCACGAUUUAGGCUGCAGAAGGUGCAAGGAUUGCUGGAGCGUCAAGGAUCAUUGGUGUUGACCUGAACCCCAGCAGAUUCGAAGAAGGUGAGAAUCCCAUUGAUCUGAGUCGCCAUUUUAUAUGUUGUUCUGAUAUGUCAGUUACUCAUAUUUUUAUCCAUUUUUUCAGCUAAGAAAUUUGGUUGCACUGAAUUUGUGAACCCAAAAGACCACAGCAAACCAGUGCAGCAGGUCUGUUUCUUUACCUGAGAUAACCAGAAGUUGGUACAGCAUAUGCAGAACUUGGCCAUAACAUCCAGUUUCAUUAUGGUUUAGGUACUUGCUGAUAUGACCAAUGGAGGAGUUGACCGCAGUGUGGAAUGCACUGGAAACAUCAACGCUAUGAUCCAAGCAUUUGAGUGUGUUCAUGAUGUAUGUACACUGUCCAUAAAUGUGUUAUUCAGUGAGCAUUCUACAAGUUCCUUAGACUCGGACAGAGUUCUAACAGCAAUGCACUUUAUCCAGGGCUGGGGUGUCGCUGUGCUGGUUGGUGUGCCACACAAGGAUGCUGAGUUCAAGACUCACCCGAUGAACUUCCUGAACGAGAGGACCCUGAAGGGAACCUUCUUCGGCAACUACAAGCCACGCACUGACCUGCCCAAUGUGGUGGAGCUGUACAUGAAGAAGGUAAGUGCAGAGCACUGUUUCUUCAGCAACCUUGCUACUUUCUUGUAGUAGUAGUGGACCUUUGCUGAAACUGUUAGCACUUC
rnacentral:lncRNA from 1 species